rnacentral:rRNA from 1 species
UACAGAGGUCUCAAGCGUUGUUCGGAUUCAUUGGGCGUAAAGGGUGUGUAGGUGGCGCCGUAAGUCGGGUGUGAAAUUUCGGGAGCUUAACUCCGAAACUGCAUUCGAUAACUGCGGUGCUUGAGGACUGGAGAGGAGACUGGAAUUCGAUGGUGUAGCAGUGAAAUGCGUAGAGAUCAAUGAGGAAGACCAGUGGCGAAGGCGGGUCGUCUGGACAGUUCCGUGACGCUGAGGCACGAAGGCCAGGGGAGCAAACGGG